rnacentral:lncRNA from 1 species
UUUCCUUGAGAUGUGCAUUUUGGCAUGGAAUUAAACUGUGUAUAAAAUGAACCUCGACUACACAUGCUGGUACCUGUUUUGACAUUUUGUUGAUCUCAUAGCUCAUUUUGUUAUUAACCAACAUAUAGAAAAUCUAUGUUGCUCAUACUCUCCAAAAUGUUUUUGCACCUGUGUGGUAUCCUUUAAAAUGCACUACUUUUGGAUGAUUUGCGCACACAUGGUGGCAUUGUUGAAUAGUUUGAGCAACAUAGCAGGAAAUAAUGUUUGCCUGCUGUAGCCUAUAAGUACCAGGAGGGAUAUCAGCAC